GAUGAACGCUCGCGGCAGGCCUAAUACAUGCGAGUCGGACGGGAUUCAGGAGCUUGCUUCUGAUGAGAGUGGCGCACGGGUGCGUAACACGUAUGUAACCUACCUUUAUCAGGGGGAUAGCCUCUCGAAAGAGAGAUUAAGCCCGCAUAAAAUCACAGCACAGCAUUGUGUAAUGAUCAAAUAUUUAUAGGAUAAAGAUGGGCAUGCGGAACAUUAGCUAGAUGGCGGGGUAACGGCCCACCAUGGCGACGAUGUUUAGGGGAUCUGAGAGGAUGGCCCCCCACACUGGUACUGAGACACGGACCAGACUCCUACGGGAGGCAGCAGUAAGGAAUAUUGGUCAAUGGGCGGAAGCCUGAACCAGCCAUGCCGCGUGCAGGAAGACGGCCCUACGGGUUGUAAACUGCUUUUAGACGGGAAUAAACCCAGAUACGUGUAUCUGGCUGAAUGUACUGUAAGAAUAAGGAUCGGCUAACUCCGUG
rnacentral:rRNA from 1 species